GACGAACGCUGGCGGCGUGCCUAAUGCAUGCAAGUAGAACGCUGAAGAGAGGAGCUUGCUCUUCUUGGAUGAGUUGCGAACGGGUGAGUAACGCGUAGGUAACCGGCCUUGUAGCGGGGGAUAACUAUUGGAAACGAUAGCUAAUACCGCAUAACAAUGGAUGACACAUGUCAUUUAUUUGAAAGGGGCAAUUGCUCCACUACAAGAUGGACCUGCGUUGUAUUAGCUAGUAGGUGAGGUAAUGGCUCACCUAGGCGACGAUACAUAGCCGACCUGAGAGGGUGAUCGGCCACACUGGGACUGAGACACGGCCCAGACUCCUACGGGAGGCAGCAGUAGGGAAUCUUCGGCAAUGGGGGCAACCCUGACCGAGCAACGCCGCGUGAGUGAAGAAGGUUUUCGGAUCGUAAAGCUCUGUUGUAAGUCAAGAACGGGUGUGAGAGUGGAAAGUUCACACUGUGACGGUAGCUUACCAGAAAGGGACGGCUAACUACGUG
rnacentral:rRNA from 1 species